rnacentral:rRNA from 1 species
AUUGAACGCUGGCGGCAAGCCUAACACAUGCAAGUCGAACGAGUGGCGGACGGGUGAGUAAUGUCUGGGAAACUGCCUGAUGGAGGGGGAUAACUACUGGAAACGGUAGCUAAUACCGCAUACCAUCGGAUGUGCCCAGAUGGGAUUAGCUAGUAGGUGGGGUAAAGGUGAACCUAGGCGACGAUCCCUAGCUGGUCUGAGAGGAUGAACGGCUACACUGGAACUGAGACACGGUCCAGACUCCUACGGGAGGCAGAAGUGGGGAAUAUUGCACAAUGGGCGCAAGCCUGAUGCAGCCAUGCCGCGUGUAUUAAGAAGGCCUUCGGGUUGUAAAGUACUUUCAGCGGGGAGGCGUUACCCGCAGAAGAAGCACCGGCUAACUCCGUGCCAGCAGCCGCGGUAAUUC